rnacentral:rRNA from 1 species
UACGAAGGGGCUAGCGUUGCUCGGAUUGACUGGGCGUAAAGGGCGCGUAGGCGGUUUGUACAGUCAGACGUGAAAUUCCUGGGCUCAACCGUGGGGGCUGCGUUUGAUACGUGCAGACUUGAGUUCGGAAGAGGGUCGUGGAAUUCCCAGUGUAGAGGUGAAAUUCGUAGAUAUUGGGAAGAACACCGGUGGCGAAGGCGGCGACCUGGUCCGAUACUGACGCUGAGGCGCGAAAGCGUGGGGAGCAAACAGG